GAUGAACGCUAGCUACAGGCUUAACACAUGCAAGUCGAGGGGCAGCACAGUGUAGCAAUACAUGGGUGGCGACCGGCGCACGGGUGCGUAACGCGUAUCCAACCUUCCCGUUACUCAGAGAUAGCCUUCCGAAAGGGAGAUUAAUACCUGAUGGUGUUUGAAUUCCGCAUGUUAUUCAAACUAAAGAUUUAUCGGUAACGGAUGGGGAUGCGUGACAUUAGAUAGUAGGCGGGGUAACGGCCCACCUAGUCUACGAUGUCUAGGGGUUCUGAGAGGAAGGUCCCCCACACUGGAACUGAGACACGGUCCAGACUCCUACGGGAGGCAGCAGUGAGGAAUAUUGGUCAAUGGUCGGAAGACUGAACCAGCCAAGUAGCGUGAAGGAUGAAGGUUCUAUGGAUUGUAAACUUCUUUUAUACGGGAAUAAAACCACCUACGUGUAGGUGCUUGUAUGUACCGUAUGAAUAAGCAUCGGCUAACUCCGUGCCAGCCGCCGCGGUAAGAC
rnacentral:rRNA from 1 species